rnacentral:rRNA from 1 species
UACGAAGGGGGCUAGCGUUGCUCGGAAUCACUGGGCGUAAAGGGUGCGUAGGCGGGUCUUUUAAGUCAGGGGUGAAAUCCUGGAGCUCAACUCCAGAACUGCCUUUGAUCACUGAGGAUCUUGAGUUCGGGAGAGGUGAGUGGAACUGCGAGUGUAGAGGUGAAAUUCGUAGAUAUUCGCAAGAACACCAGUGGCGAAGGCGGCUCACUGGCCCGAUACUGACGCUGAGGCACGAAAGCGUGGGGAGCAAACAGGG